UGUUCGGGCAUUCGGGUGGGCGACCCGCGUAGGCGUGUGAAAGGCCCGCUUCGAUAAGAGGGUAGGAGCGGCAUCUCUGGUUACAGGGUCCGGCAAAGUGCAAAGGGUAGAGUCCAGGUUGGACAGCACCUCAUCUAGCCAUGGCGGCGUCUGGGGAGCCUCGGAGGCAGUGGCAGGAGGAGGUGGCGGCGGUGGUAGUGGUGGGCUCCUGCGUGACCGACCUGGUCAGUCUGACUUCUCGUUUGCCAAAAACUGGAGAAACCAUCCACGGACACAAGUUUUUUAUUGGCUUUGGAGGGAAAGGUGCCAACCAGUGUGUCCAAGCUGCUAAGCUUGGAGCAAAGACGUCCAUGGUGUGCAAGGUUGGCAAGGAUUCUUUUGGCAAUGAUUAUAUAGAAAACUUAAAACAGAAUGAUAUUUCUACAGAAUUUACAUAUCAGACUAAAGAUGCUGCUACAGGAGCUGCUUCUAUAAUUGUCAAUGAUGAAGGCCAGAAUAUCAUCGUCAUAGUGGCAGGAGCAAAUUUACUUCUGAAUACUGAAGACCUGAAGGAAGCAGCCAGUGUCAUUAGCCAAGCCAAAGUCAUGAUCUGCCAGCUAGAAAUAACUCCAGCAACUUCUUUGGAAGCUCUGACAAUGGCCCAUAGCAAUGGAGUGAAAACAUUGUUCAAUCCAGCUCCUGCCAUUGCUGACCUGGAUCCGCAGUUCUACAGCCUCUCGGACGUGUUCUGCUGCAAUGAAAGCGAGGCUGAGACUUUAACAGGCCUCACGGUGGGCAACCCAGAAGAGGCUGGGAAAGCUGCAAUGGUACUCCUGGCAAGGGGCUGCAAGGUUGUAAUCAUCACCUUGGGGGACAAAGGAUGUGUGUUGCUGUCCCAGACAGAACCUGUCCCAAAGCACAUUCCCACAGAAAAGGUCAAGGCUGUGGAUACCACGAACAACCCUGCAAGAUGGGCUCUUGCCUGUUUUAGAGAGGAAGAAACUGACUCCUGGUUAUAUGACCUGCCUGGGGACAUACAAUUGAUCUUCAGAAGCUGCCAGAUCUUGAAAAGGCCUUGCUUACUUUGUACGGUACCCUGUGAACUCACUUAAAUAAUCCACGCAUACCCUGAGAACAGUGCCUGGCUCACGUAAGCACUCAGUAAAUGUUAGCUCAUCAGUGUGUCUUGCGAUAUCUCAUUAUUUAUUUUAUGUGGACCAUUUGGAGUUACUAGAUAACUUGUACCAGGAACUUGCUCCACCCACUGUCUGGCAGAAUGGACAUUACCUGAGCCAGAGAACACUCAGGUCCCAUCACCAUUCCACUCCAGCCUCUCUCUCCACAGGGAAAGGGCUGGAAUACCUGGGAGUGGUGUGGCAGGAUUGUGCCCAUUCCAGAGAGCAAAGACUCUGGCACAAUUCACAUCCAUUUGUUUUCUCUCUCUUUUUUUUUUUUUUUUUUAAUUAGGUACAUCAAUGGAUGACAGGACUCAUUUGGUUUUUGUUUUGUUUUGUUAAAUAUUAAUUUUUUCAGUGGUAGUUGGACACAAUACCUUUAUUUUAUUUAUUUAUUUUUCUGUGGUGCUGAGGAUCAAACCCAGGACCUCACACGUGCUUGGCAAGCGCUCUACCCCUGAGCCACAACCCCGGCCCAGGACUCAUUUGUUUUAUUUAUGUAUUUUAAUUGUUUGUGGUGCUGGGGGUCAAACCCAGGGCUUUAAGCUUGCUAGGGAAGCCCUCUACUUGUGAGCCCCAGCCCCUCCAUUCAUUCUUGUCACUGGAUGAGAGAGAGAGACACUACUUUGAAAGACUAUAAUCAAAUAAUCUUUUCACUAAACUUCUUUAAUUAGGAACCUGAACUGCUAACUAUAAAGCCUAGUGACAAUGUGAUUCCUCUUUUUUAACAUUUCCAAACUAGCUUUCUAAUUGGGGGAGGGGGGCGGGGGGGAUACUCACACUGCCCUGUCUAGCAAACUCUUACCCAUCCUCAAAGCCUAGCCUGGAGAGUCUUUUGGGGAAAUUCAGUGCUGAAAACAAUGCUUAGUCUACAAUAAUGGCUCUCUGUAAAUAAAGAAAGAGUUCUAUUUCCUUCUGGGAAAAUAACUAGUCUGAGCACAAGAGUCACUUUUCAGUUUUCUCAGUGGAUUAGAAUCUUCAGGGCUGUUUACAUUCCUCACAUUCCACAUUUAAGAUGCCUAGAGAAAGAAGAAUCUGAGGUACAAACACUCUUUUUAAGUGAUUUGAAAAUGAAGUAAUUCUCCCCCAUUUUCCAUUUGAAAACAUAUCUUCAGAUUGUUUUACCUGCAGUUUUAUAAAGGCCAGGCCAAAAGAAGAAGAAGAAGUUAGCGAAAAUGAAUGACACCUCUGAACUUGGCAUCAGAGAACAAAGAAAACUCAACUGAGGUUCUGGAAUAGCCCUCCCAGCCCUGGGAAUAAUAUCAUAAAACUCUGUGCGAACUCUGCACACACUGGCUGCCAGAAAAGAUGAAGAAGGCAAAGAGAAGUUCACUGACUGUAAAGAAAGGGUGGAGGACAAGGUAAUUGCCAAGGAGGCGAUAGACAAGGCACAAGACAUCUGCCAUGCCCAGGGGGCCGUGCUGGCUCUAUUACAUUACUUCCACAUCAGCACAUCACCUCAUUUAUUAGCUAAUCAGGCAGAAUUCAAUAUUUGAAAUUAUCUUUCUUAUUCCUGCAUGUGAUCAGUUGAAAACCCAGGGCUCUAAAAAUCUAAUUGUAAUUGCUUACCAGAAAUGUCAUCUUCACUUGGAAGAAUUGAACCAAGGCCAAAUGUGAGGGUAUUUUUUUUUCUGUUUUCCCAAAGUACUGUCCCCCAGGACUGGAUAUGCAUUUACAGGUCCCCAGUACCCUACAUUCUAGGGCUCCCUGAAGAGAUGUGGGCACUGGUCCUACUUCCAGACUCAGAUAUGACAUAAAACUAAAGGUAGUGUGUGGCCAUGGAGAAGGGGGCAUGGAAGGGAAGGAACAAUAAUUUAAGCCUUAGCAAAAGUCAAGAGAGAAACAUCUGAAUCUAGAUAAGAGUUGGGCCUGGGCAGGAAGUAGUCCCUCUGCCCAACAGGAAGGGAAGGCAUGAUGUGGCAGAGCUUGCUUGCUCAUCCAUGAUCGGGCUUUUUUUCUUCGCACCCUACACCUCAGCCCCACUUCUCAGUGUGACAGCGUGGCAGUGAGCCUUUGGUCAGCUCCUUGCCUGUUUUCCUAGGCUGCUCAAGUGGUCUUCCCGAGACAGACCUGCAGGACUCUGCUGUAGGUCUUCCAAGUGUCUUCCACAGAGUGGGUGUCUCCUGGGGAAACCUGAAACUAUGAGGAGAUGAGAAAAUUACCUGGAAUCCAACUGUCCCCUUGGCCCCAGUGCCCAUCACUGCUGGUGGAAGUAGGCAAGGGAAUGGAAGAAUGGUAUGUGGCUCACAGCCUGCUGGACAUCAGCCUGCCCUUUGUAUGAACCUAGCGGUGCAGGUUGUAGGCUGGUGACGUGCACUUUGUGUGUUAAUUGUCCUGAUGACAUGUGCUGUGUUUGAAUGACCUGUUAGUGGCACAAAUACCUUGUGUGUGUGUUUGUGGUGGUUUGUAUGUGCACAGAAUACAGUGGAAUAGAGUUAAAAGCUUAAAUCUUUAAAGCGAGUCUCUCUUGCUUUCCUCGUACUACUUCUAUUCCUUUCAAAAUAUAUAAAGAAAAGUGCUUUAUACAAUGGUCCACCCCUGAAAAGGGUAUUUGAUUUGGGAAUAAAAGGAGUCCAGAGUAUAUCUUCCCUGAGAGAUUCUCUAAAAAUUAAAAUCUUUAUAUUCCUUUCUUCUCUUGGUCAAAACAAACCAAAACUGGAAAAAAGAAAGACUAUGUUUAUAACUACUAAAUAACUUUCCUGUUCCUAGUUAGAAAAAUCCUCCUUCUCUAUUUGUCCUUCUCUGUAUUAACUUUUAGUGUUAGAAUUUAGAAAUCUAAUCAUUUAGACCUCAUUAUAAGUGACUAUAAUUUGCUUCAAAUACAUAUAUUUACUGCUUGCCUCACUAGUCCCAAAGAACCAGCUUCUGUAGGAACCUUGACUGUAGCAUCUCACUCUGCUUGAAACCCACCUCUGUCUGUCCAUGAGCAUUAAAACCCAAGCCUUAAGAUUAUAAAGACCACAACCCCCCAGGACAGCCAUAGUUCAUGCACUUAGCUUUCUGCCUCUUGGUUCCAUAUUUGGUUUUGGAUUCUGGAAAAAUCCUCUAGUUAGGCAUAGUUACAGUGAUGAGGUUUCUGUUUCAUCCUGGGCAUCUGGAGGGUUUUCAGGUCUCUAGGCCACAACGUUGCUUGAAAGAGGAGGUUAAGUGGGGUCUCAUCGCAUCCAAUGACCACAGACAGGAUUCUUGGGCUGCCUGUCAUCUUAUUCUCAGAGCAUUAUGGGAGUUCCAGGAUUCAUUUAACAAAAUGUGCCUCUAGAGCUGGAAACAGUUCUUUAAGAAAUGGAAACUUCCUGAGGUUGUGGCUCAGCAGUAGAGCAUUCGCCUAGCACAUGCAGGGGCCCUGGGUUCGAUCCUCAGCACCACAUAGAAAUAAAUAAACAAAACAGAGGUAUUUGUCCAUCUAUAACUAAAAAUAUAUAUUUUUUUAAAAAAGGGAAAAAAAAGAAGUGUGUCACAUUAGAUUGGGUAGAGAGAUGUGAUGGGAGGGGAAGGGGGGAUAGGAAGGGCAGCAGAAUAAAAUAGGCAUUAUUAUUGCUGUAUGUUUAUAGGUGACUGUAUAACCAAUGUGAUUCUGCAACUUGUACAAUCAGAAAAAUGAGAAAUUAUACUCCAUUUGAUUCAAAUGUAUGAAUUGUCAAGAUCAUUGUAUUGCCAUGUGUAACUAAUAAAAAAAAUUCAUCAAACAGAUUAAAAAAAAAAUAAAAAAAAAGAAAUGGAAACUUCCUCAAGAUACUGAGGCAGGAAGAUUGUAAGUUAAGACCAGCUUAGGCAAUUUAGCAAGACUCUUAAAAUAAGGGCUGGGCCUGUAGCUCAAUGGUAGAGCACUUGCCUGACAUGUGCCAGGCACUGGGUUCAAUUCCCAGUAAUGCGAACAGAGAGAAAAGAAAUAAAAGAAAAGGAAAAGGGUUGGUGGGGGGUAUGAAAUGAGAAGUUCCUCUAUAGGAAAGUAUGGCAAUCUGGUGAUGAGCUCCUACUAUGAACCCAUUUAUUCGGCUCACUUUGAAAUUUCUGCACGCCACACGUGGGACACAGGCUGGUGUAACAGGUGUAGUAAGAUAGCCCCUGGCCACAGAGAGCUUGGAACCUAGAAGACUAUGCAGCCCACAGGGUCAGAAUGAGAAGUGCAGAGGCGGGGAUGCCCCUGGGUGCUGUGGUAGCCCAGGGAAGCUGCUUGAGAGGGGAAAGGAAGGGGUGGGCAGAGGGAUAUGCCAGAGGCAGCUUGGUAGGGGGUAGCCGGGAAGAGUGGUAGCAGCUCAUCACACACCUGGAAGGUAGGAGGAGCUCUAACUGGAAUGAGUUCAGGAUACAAGAAAAAAAUGCAGGAGCUGUGGUGGUUGUGGCUCAGUGGUAGUGCACUUGACUCGCAUGUGUGACUCACUGGGUUUGAGUGUCAGCACUGAAUAUAAAUAAAUGAAUAAAAUAAAGUUCCACCAACAACUAAAAAAAAAAUUUUUUUAAAUGCAGAAGGGUGAGGUGGAGAGGGGACAGGGAUGGGUUGUGAAGCCUUCACUCCACACAUCCUCCACACUAGGGGUUAAUGCUUUCUUCUAAGGGCAGGGGGAACCACUGAAGAUUUUAAGCAGGGGAUAGAUUGGGUCCUACUUAAACUUCAUAUAAAGAUUAAUGUGGCUGUAGCAUAAAGAAGAAAUUGGAAAUUAUGAGACUGGAGGCAGGGAAAACAGGCCAGAGGCUUCAGUAUUGAUCUGGGUAGGAAAUGAUGGCAGCCUAGACUGGAGAAGCGGCAAUGGGCAUGUUGAGCAGAGGGUAUGAGAGCUCUUAAGAAUUUAGAAGAUGCACAGUAGUUCAUUUCCUUUAAAAAAAAAAAAGUGGGAGGAGGGAGACUAAGUUAGGUGGUCAUUUCAUGUUCAAAACAAACAUUCUGGGGGCUGGGAUGGGGCUCAGUGGUAGAGCGCUUGCCUUGCACGUGUGAGGCCCUGGGUUCCAUCCUCAGCACCACAUAAAAAUAAAUAAAUAAAAUAAAGGUAUUGUGUUAUGUACAACUAAAAAAAAUUUAAAAAACAAAUAAAUAUUCUGGCAGUCUCAGUGUUUUUCCACGUUUUUGUUUUGGGGGGGCUGAGGAGAGGAAGUGGGUACCAGGGAUUGAAGUCAGGGACACUCAAACACUAAGUCACAUCCCCAGCCAUAUUUUGUAUUUUAUUUACAGAUAGGGUCUCACUGAGUUGCUUGGCAGCCUUGCUUUUGCUGAGGCUGGCUUUGAACUCAUGAUCCUCCUGUCUCAGCCUCCUGAACCACUGUUUCCAUUGUGAGUAUCAUCAGUGGUUGCAGGUAGCACAGGGAGAUACCCAUAUAUUUUACAAAAGAUAAAAAUCUCAGGCAAUUUCCACAUGCCUUUCCACUGGGCAUAUAUAUAUACAUGCCUCCCCAUUUGGGGGAAUCACUCAUCUGCAUAACAGACAAGAAUUUGGAGCAGAAAUAUAGCUUUCAUUUCAAGUAAGUAACAAUCUAGGCAUGGUGGCACACACCUGUAACCCCCGAGGUUGGGAAGGCUGAGACAGGAGGAUUGAGUUCAAAGCCAGCCUCAGAAACUUAGCAAGGACCUAAAGGCCUAAAAUUACAAAAGGGCUAGGGAUGUGGCUCAGUGGUUCAGCAUCCCUCAGUUCAAUCCCCAGUGCAAGCAAGCAAGCAAGCAAAUAAAUAAAUAAAUACAUACAUACAUACAUACAUACAUACAUAAAGUGAUAACAUUUGAAGGAAGCUUUUGCAGUGUGACGCAGUUCAGAUACUGUGCCGUACCACACACGCUUUAGAUGCUAGCUUACUGUCAAUAGAAACAUGGCCUCACGUAACUAUGCUUCCUUCCCGAUGAAGUGACAGAUUGGCCAGCAUGUGAUGAAUUUGGGUUGUGUAGAUAAAAAUACCAGGUGUGCCAGCCAAGGCAUACAGUUUGCUGUAAAUCACCCACAUCAACUUUCAGGACAGUUAGAGUCACAGAACAAUUGCUCAGUUCCUUCCUUCAUUUUCACAGUGUGGACCUGGCUCCAGACCCAAGAGUGAAGCAGCAACUUUAAGAAAGCAGAAACAUUAAUAAUAACCCAAAGAACCCUUUUAUAAUAGCAACUGCCUGCUGAUUUUGUGGCCUAACAGCUCAAGCAGAAAAGGAUAUAAAUACAAUAUUGUGCAAUGACUAAUUACUCAAAACUCUGUGCAUCAGCAGAAGUGGAACCUGCGGUUGGUGCUAAUGUUAUCAAAUGCCUUUGCUGUUUAAUAAUCUGUAGCUUUAUAUUAUCUAGCAUGGAAUUUUCACAGAAAACAAUGAUUGUAUUUCAAGUACCUCUCACUGAAAUUAAAAAGCAGCUGUUAAAAGAUGAACAUUUGGCAGAAGAUGUUCUAGCAAAUCUUGUAAGAUACUAAAUCAUAUGGGAUUAACUAUUUUCUGUCUAAAGAGUGGAGUCACAAAGAAAAAAGAUUGCUGACCACAGAAGGCAAGGCCAGUCUUUAGAACAAGUGAAUCACUAACAGACCUUUUAGUUUUAAGUGCCAUUUAUUCACCGAUAUAUUAAGUUAUUUAUACACAAAGCUUUCAUUAAUGUUGCCUGAAGAAUGGGCCCUUUUUUAUUCCAUUUUUAGCUCAUACUCAAGAUUCCAUUUCUCUUUCAUUAAUUAUAGAAUAAAUUAAUCCGCCACAGACAUUUUGGGCAGAAUGGGGGUUUGAGACAGUUUUCAGUCUCCAGGGGCCAUCUUCCUCUAUGGCUAGCCAUACAGCAGAGAGUAAGGGCUGUGGCUGAGGGCAGCGCCUGCCAGCACUGCCACUCAGGCCCUGCCUGGGAACCUGAGGAGGCAGAGUAUGUGUGGCCUACCCACUCCAGGUUCACAGUGUCCCACAAAUGUUCUUUGAGCUGGCCAACCACUGGCCCAACUAGGAAUGAACCAGUGAGGAAGUGACAUCAUGACACAGUUGCUGGGCAUAGCCCGUUUCAGCUUUAAUGUUUUAUUGACAGGGAGGUUUUUACAUUGCUAAUAUAAUUGUAAGUAAAACAUGAAAUGCUCCUUUUUAAAAUUAUCAGGCAGCAUGUAAACAGCUUUUCCUCAGUUCCUAUUCCUGGAAUAGAGUGGGUGAUGGGUGGAAUUUUUAAAUGGAGGGAGGACUCAGAGAUAACUGAGGAUGGCUUACAGUGGGGAACCCAGGCUUGGCUGAGGGGAAAUGAAGUGAAGAAAGGAGUUGACUCAGGCAUGUCUGCUUUGCAUAUCAUUCAGUGAUAGGAGACAGUGCGUCUGCCUUUUUAUGAAGUCGUUAGGAUUCAAGUGUUAGCUCAAAACAGCUUCAUCACAACACUCUACAUCAGUGCUGGUGUGACUGACCAGCUCAGAGGCCAUCACCAGCUGAUGAAGCUGAGAGUGGACCUGAGUGGACAUAGGCAGGCCCAGAUGGAGCCAGCAAAUGGCCUCUGUCAGUAUGAACCAUUGGCUAACUUGGAUCAGGAGCCAUUUCACCAACAGUGGGGCCAGAUCUCUGAUGCAGUCAACACCACAGCCACGUGCCCCAUGUGUGAAGUGUGAGGUGGCCAAACACACUGUAUCCAACAGGAAGUUUUUUUGUCUUUGUUUCAAUUUUAGAUUAAAUCCCAGUGGGGCGAUUAUUGUGAUUACCUGUACUCUUGCAAAUGGUUACUAAAUACUAGUAGGGCACUAAUACAUGAGAAUCUGGAAGCUCUGGGAUGAAGGUUGGCAGAGUUUUUCUUGUUCUACAGUAGUUGAAAUUUAAUCAAUAUAUUGAAAAUGGAAAGGCCACUGUCAUUUUUAAUACCACUUACAGUCUCUGUGGGCAGUGAAAUGGUGCCCUGAACAUACCUCAGCCCCACCUUACUUUGAUUUUACACUUGACCUCCCAUUGAUCCUUCUCUGUUCUCAUCUAUCUAAAUGAAAGAAUACUUUAGCCCCAUAAACCUCAUUCUGGAUAGAAAUACAUAAUUCAAGAGGAAUACUGAUGUCAAAGAAGAAAAGGCACACCAAUUUGUGUCAGCAUUUGCUGUAAAUUAAAGAGGAGUACAAGGAGAGUUUAAUGUAAUGUAGAGUUGAAAUUAAAAUAGAACCAAUAUUUAGGCAUUCCUCCGCCUCUUAUUUCCCUGCUGUGACAUGAAAGAUUGACUUUCUCCCAGCCUAAGUAUUAAUGUAUUUCAUUUUUUUCUUUUCCACUGGGAUUUUUUCCCCAUAAAAUGUUACAUGUUUAUCAAUGGCAUCUGAAUUUGAACUUUUUCACUGGUUCCAUUCUUAAUCACAACAGCAAAAGCCAGGGGAGAAAAGAGUUGGUUUCCCGUCAUGCUCCACUCCCUUCAUGUUUGCAGUCGAGGAAGGACCUCUGCCUGCUUAUCUGCUGUCAUGAGCUGUUGAUUCCCCUGGAUACUGAUUCUCUAAUGUGUCGCUUCCAUGGUGUCUUUUUCCAAAGCUGGAAAAUCAAAAAUAGAUAUGAACAAUGUACUGUUGUGUAUGGUUCACAGGAACCCUUUGGCACGAAUCCACCAGUGUCCUUCCCUGUAAAGCAGUCCCGGGAGCUUCACAUUUAGUUCUAUCCAGCUGCCUUUGUUCAGAACCUGUUUGAAGCUCCUUAUUCAGGUUUCCACCAGGGCUAGUUUUGCUCCUUACAGUUGCCUAUUGUUUGGGGUCAGUGGUGGACUCCCUAGCUUGAUUCUACAUCACUAGACUUGGUUUCAAGUGAUUCAGUCUUUCCAGAAAUAAAUUACUCUGGAGAGUGGUUCUCAAAGUGUGGCCCCUGACACCCCAGAAUAGCAGCAUCUGUAUCACCUGAGAAUUCAUUAGAAGUGCAAUUCCUGGGCCCCACAUUAGAUUUAAUAGAUCAGAAAGGCUGGGAGUGGAGCCCAGAAGCCUGUGUUAACUAACAAGCUAUCCACGCAAUUCUGACCUCUCUGCUCAAGUUUGAGAAACUCUGGUUUAGAAGAUAUGUUUGCUUCCAGGAAGGAUUUUCAAAGAUAUGCUACAAUUUUUGAUAGUAUUCCAAAAAAGUUUCAAAAUAUUUUUUGGCAAAGAUGGAAGACAUGUUUAUGGCCUCCCCAGAGGACAGUUAAUGGGACUGUGCUUCCACCAAAGGCACCCUAAUUGUGCCAUCUCACCAUGUCUUCAAGCCAUUUCUUACACUUGAUUUCUCAUCUGGAAAAUGAAAGAUUCACCCUUCUACCUCACAGGAUUGUAAUGAGAUUCAAAUUGAAUCACAUCUGCAAACAUGCCCGGUAAACCAGAAAGUGCUCUGUAAACGUGAAAGUCAAAUCACUCUGCAGGCAGUAUUCUGUGGUGCCAGCAUCACAUUCAAGGAUGUGAGUGGGAAAAGGCCUGUCAGCCAGAUCCACCUUUCUGUCUCCAUAGUGUCCUGGACAUGAUGGGUCUCAGAUUCGGCCAUUUCAGCUCAGCAGUUGAGAGAAAACCUUUGCCUGAGUAGUGACUGCAAGAGGCUAGGAAAUAUAGCCAUGAUCAGACAUGUUGUUUUCUCUGAGUCUCAGGAAAGCUCUGAGGAUCAGUGAGGGCAGACAGUGUUGUGUGAAUGCUGAGGCUCUCGUGCCCAAUACAUGGCUCAUAGCAGCCCUGGAAUGGUCUCUCCAGAAACCAUCUACUACAGGGCUGUUCAAGGGAAUCUUGACCUUUAAGAAGGAAGUUUAUUGCUACACAUUAAUCAUUACAGAAAACUGAAAAGAAAAUCCUCGGGCCAACCAAAUCUAUAGAACUGAGAUUUAUAAACCAGACCAGUUAAUGUGUCAGGGAAGAAUGUGGGUUGAUUUUUACCUCAGAGAUUAGCUUUUACAAACAAUUUCACCAUAGGAAUUGUUAAACAGCAAGCUCCUGAUGCAUUUAUAAUUUAAUUUGAAAACUUUGGUGAACACUUCUGAGCAAGAAGGAAGCUAAGCCUGUUGCCUCGGUGCUUAUUAGGAAUGAAGUUUCAGUAACACGGAGCAGUUCCCACUGGGCCAGUAUCAGCUUCACUUUUCACACAAAGUGCCAGCUAAAAUCAAGAGAUUAGGGUGCUGGUGACAGCUUUGUGGGAGCUCUGGCCUUCUACAUGGCUUAUUACCCAAAUUUGUCCUUGGAAGAAAUGCUCAGGAGAUCCAAUUUCAUCGCAGCAGUCAGUGUCCAAGCUGCAGGAACACAGUCAUCUUAUCCAUACAAAAAAGACCUUCCUCCUACUCUGUUCUGAUUACUGUUAUCCCUCAAGUAAAGAUACCUGGAAAUAAAAUGUACCUGAGGUGACCAUUCCUAGCUAA